ensembl:lncRNA
AAAUGGUCUGUUGGAAAUGAGCAAUGCGGCACCGCGCGGCAAACAGCAACGGCCAAUGUGGGCUCGUGGCAACUAUGGGAGCCUGGCACGUUCAGAAGUGCUAUAAACCUGCAGGAAAUAACAUCAUCCCUGUCCGCGUGCAUCCAGAGGGGCCGAGACCCCACUCAUGGCCUGGGCACGACUGCAACAAAACCAGAGAGGGAAAACUCUCCGGCAACAGGCAGAGCCCAGAGCCCCACCAGGAAGGCCUGAGCCACAGAGGGCCUCCCAUGCAGGAGCACAUGGGGCAGAAUGGAAGGGAGGACCAGAAGGCAGCUCUUCUGCAAAAGCCAGCCAGGCCACCAGCUUGGAGGGGGGUCAGGGACGGACUGAACAGCUGCACGGCAAGGCUUCCCCCCCACAUCCGUGUCUGAUGGCAAUGUGACGCCCAUCACAAGCCCUGGUAAUACUGGAAGGGUUUAUGCAUUUAGAUGAGCAAAACCUGCCAAACCAUACCUUGCGUGCCGAGGAGAACACCCCUGCCUAUCAGCCCCGGACCCACCUGGGCACUCAGCAGUCAAUUCUGAGUCUUGAAAAUCGCCAGAAUGAGUCAAAGCAGCCCACCUUCCUGCUGGAGGUCUUCCAUCAAGCGCCGGUCGGCCCUGACGGGGCAGCACGCUGUACAGUGGGAUCACAACCCACUGCGUCCCCCCGCAGGCAAACCUCAUCCCCCCGUUUAUCACAUUCACGACAGCACAGAAAGUCAGAGUGCAGCCGCUGCGAAGGCAAACCAAGCUCCUAUUAGCACUCAACCACAACAUAAACCUAUUAUUGCACAUUACAAAUAGCGGUGCUAUUCUGUUGCCAGGUUAUAAGCUCCAGAAAGGUGCCCUUGGAAUGCUCACUUCCAACAAAAUAGCCCUCAGCUUAACAUCUGAUCUGAAGGGCUACGAGAAAAGUGCUUCCUUUUACCACUAAAUUGCAGCGAUGGGCUUUAGCAUUUCUUCAAUUAUGAUAUGGACAAUGGAACUGUGUCUUUCUGGAUGCAUGAGGAAUUCUGCUAAAUGAGCCAUUCAGACAUCUGAACUUAAGUCUGUGCCUUUAAUACAUUUGAUGAACACGGAAAUUUUAUCUCUUGUGUCAUUAUUUUAG